GAAUUGACGGGGGCCCGCACAAGCAGUGGAGUAUGUGGUUUAAUUCGAAGCAACGCGAAGAACCUUACCAGGGCUUGACAUCCCUCUGGCAGCUCUAGAGAUAGGGCUUCUCUUCGGAGCAGAGGAGACAGGUGGUGCAUGGUUGUCGUCAGCUCGUGUCGUGAGAUGUUGGGUUAAGUCCCGCAACGAGCGCAACCCUUGUUGUUAGUUGCCAUCAUUAAGUUGGGCACUCUAACGAGACUGCCGGUGAUAAAUCGGAGGAAGGUGGGGACGACGUCAAAUCAUCAUGCCCCUUAUGUCCUGGGCUACACACGUACUACAAUGGCUGCUACAAAGGGAAGCGAGACCGUGAGGUGGAGCAAAUCCCCAAAAGCAGUCCCAGUUCAGAUUGCAGGCUGAAGCUCGCCUGCAUGAAGUCGGAAUUGCUAGUAAUGGCAGGUCAGCAUACUGCCGUGAAUACGUUCCCGGGCCUUGUACACACCG
rnacentral:rRNA from 1 species